UGUGAGUGAUGACGACACCCUUCCCUGACUCAAACGUGGGGGUUUAACUGAUUUAAUGAGCCUGACAC
rnacentral:snoRNA from 1 species